AGGUUUCUGACGCAUAUUGCACGUCGUGGGACCUACCAUGACGAACACAUACUUGAGCGCUU
rnacentral:rRNA from 1 species